rnacentral:rRNA from 1 species
UACGGAGGGGGCUAGCGUUGUUCGGAAUUACUGGGCGUAAAGCGCACGUAGGCGGCUUUGUAAGUUAGAGGUGAAAGCCCGGGGCUCAACUCCGGAAUUGCCUUUAAGACUGCAUCGCUAGAAUUGUGGAGAGGUAAGUGGAAUUCCGAGUGUAGAGGUGAAAUUCGUAGAUAUCGGGAGGAACACCGGUGGCGAAGGCGGCGAUCUGGGUCGAUACUGACGCUAAGGUGCGAAAGCGUGGGGAGCAAACAGG